rnacentral:lncRNA from 1 species
AUGUUGGCAUUUUUCAGAGUUAGGUUUAUGAAGUAUCUCUUGUCUUUUAAGAUCGUGUGGCUUGACCCACUGUCCACAACGAGUACAUCCUUGUUCUCGUUCAUUUCUUUAGCUUAGUUGUUUGAUGAACCGGACCAACAAAGAAUGAACCUCGAGCUGGACAGGAACGGAACGCGAGCUGGCUGUUUCCUAUCGAGUCCCGAACGGUAUUGAGGCUGAGGUUGCGAGCGGCUGAUCGGAGACGCGAGCUGUUUGCUGUCGGAUCGCGAGUGGCUUAUCGUCGAACGAGAGCUGCGA